GGGGCCCAGGGAUAUCCUCAGUGUCCAAAGCACAGGAUUUUUGAAAGCAAAAACUGCAUUCUGGCAUCUUAUUAACAGCUGCAGGGCAGGUUGAGGGGGAGGAGUCGUGUUUGAACAGGCAAGCAGUUUAACAGAAGCUAAGAUGGGUUGCUGGGACAUCUUGACCUUGAGUUUCUAGAAUAGAGUUUUGGGUAAUUUUCCAUGGGAUUCUCCAUCAAGGAGAUCAAACUCUAGUUAAAACUAAAAUGGCCUCAGCAAGAAUACAAGAUGGAGGAACCUCUGCACUGUCUUGCGCCAUCACACCAGCGCCCGCAUGAUGGUCCACAACUGUCUGUAACUCCUGUUCCAGGAGAUCUGAUGCGCUCCUUUAACUUUGUGGGCACCAGGCACACAUGUGGCAUGUGGUAUACAUACAUAUAUACAGACAGACCAAGUACUCAUAUGCAUAAAACAGAGAGAGAGAGAGAGAGAGAGAGAGAGAGAGAACUGCCCCACACCAUUGCUUUCUUAAAACAUUUUCAGGCGAGAUCUGUUUUUCUUGCCAAUAUUCUGCUAUGAUUCCUUAGAAGCUGUAUGGGUUUCUCUGGAAAAAAGUUCCCAUGAAGAGUCUGCCAUCAGCAUUUAGAUAUGAAUGGAUGGUCUGGGUAGUGGGAAGUAGGGGACAGGAGAACAAGGCUAUAUAUAAUCAAAUCCAUAAGAAGGAUGACAUUUGGUUGUCAGUUUUUUUCUUUUUUUCUGAGAUAAGGUUUUACUGUGUAACACUAGUGGGCCAGGAACUUACUAUGUAGCUCAGGCUAGCCUUGAACUCAUAGAGAUCCACCUGUCUCUGCCCCUGAGUGUGGAGAUUAUAAAAGUAUGCACCCUAAGCCCUACUUUUUUUUUAUUUUCAGUGUAUGUGCAUGUGUGCUUGUGCGUGCGUGCGUGCAUGCGUGUGUUUGCCUGUAUGCCUGGUUCUGAGACAAAAAUUUAUUAACAUAACACCAGUCCAAUUUUUGUUGAAGGAUUGGUUAUGUACUUAAAAUUGUAGGCUGGGCUUAGUGGCACACACCUGUAAUCCUAGCACUUAGGAGGCAGAGACAGGCAGAUCUCAGUGAGUUCAAGGCCAGCCUGAUCUACAGAGCAAGUUCCAGAACAGCCAGGGCUACACAGACAUACCCUGUUUUGAAAAAACAGAAGGAAAAUAUAAAAGCAAGCAUUACUACAGAGUCCUCAGCAAUG
rnacentral:lncRNA from 1 species